UCUUUCUAACAGCCCUUGACUAGCAUGUGGUGUGUGUGAUGGAGGCUUUACAGAGCAGGAAGCUACUUCACUGCCUCACCCUGUUUGCUUUUCUUUUUCAUUAGCCUUCUCCCUAGGGCAAAGCAUAGAGGUACUCGAUAAAGACAGAAAAUCGCUUGUUUCAUAGUAAAUCUGCAAAUAUGUGACCAAAAAUCCUCCUUAUUUAGAAUAAUAUGGAAACUGACCCUUGAAAUUAAAAUGAAGACACUGGGUUUGAUUGUUAAUUAUUCCUGCCCCCAGUAAUAAAACUUUCAGGGAAGCUCCAUAUUAAUCAAUUGUUUAUAAAGGACACAUUUGGGAGUUAGGCAGGGGAUAGGCAUCUGGAAACCUAGAGGGAGGCAGCAGAGCACAUGCAUGGAGGCAAAGACUUAGGCACGUAGGGAAUUUGUGCUGCAGAAACUUAGGCACUAAGCAGCCAAGUGAGCCAAGGCACCUACAGGGUUGGGCAGCAGCCAAGCAGCAGUUUCGUAGGUCUCAGCAGUGCCUAAAAAUGGGACUCAGGCACCGAAGUACCUUUGUGAAUACCACCCCCUGUCCCUAUCCUAGGAGGCCAACAAGUACCGUUCUCCCCCUUCUAACAGAGGCGGUAACUGAGGACCAGAGACACUGCUCAAGCUCACUUCUAGCAGAGUUAGGAAGAGAAGGUCAGUCUCUCCUGAGGCAGACUCAAGUCACUCCCGCUUAGCCAUUGCCUUUUGGAAUGACUGUGCCAAAUCUAUGUGCUUAGCGAUGCUGUCUGUGCAAUGGAGCUACCCCUGCCCAGCCAGGUGAACGAGGCAAGAGGCUGCAGGAAGAGCCGAGCAUUGGGCAAGUCUCGUGAAAGCAGAAUGUUCAGAGGCUUAGGGCGCUGUGCCAGGGAUCGCAUAUGUGGGGCAGCCCCUGAACCUCUGCUGUAGAGGGUCCAGGGAGCAGAGGGGCCAGGGAGCCAUAAGAAAAUGGGUGGUUGUGUUUGUUCUUUAUGUUUUAAAGCAGCAAAAAAUAUUUGUAACUUUGGUGAACCCUCCUUUCCAGGGUGUUAUAAUUCAGCAACCACUUGUCCAAUUCACAUCAAAUUUGAUAGAAAUAGUUUACUUCAGCCCCAGAUUUAAGGUUCCAAUUUUGAGGCUGAUAGGAUCUUCCUGUAGUUUAUAGAUGUAGGGUCAAAAAUCAGGGUUAUAAAGGAAACUAUUAGAGUCUUAAACUAUGGAGUGACUAUCAUCACUCCAUCAUACUGGGAUGAAGCAGCCUCUUCCACAGUGGGAAUAACUCUGCUCCAACCGGGAUGUGUGUGAGGCUAAGCCGUCUGGGUCUGAGAGGAUAAGCACAUUGCUGUAUGCAGAUUUCCAUAAGGACUCUUUAAUUUCAUAGCACCAUCUAAACGAUAAUGGUGACUUUCUGCUUUACAAUUUCACUUGCAUCUUCAGCCUUGCUACAUGCAGGAGAAAAGAGUAAAUUCUGCUGCUGUUUAAAAAACAUCACCAUAAAAGUGCACAAGGACAGAUGAUCCUGAACUGAUUCUCUUUUCCUAAAUUAUUUUCGCUUUAUACUAUAACUUGAAUUCUUUCAUUGCCAGGCACCUCCCGGACUAAGGGUCCAUUUCACUGACUGUGAGAAGCUGGAAAUGUCCCAGUGAUCCUGUAACUGCUGGGAAGUUUCUCCUGGGCUCAUGAGUUACAAUGAAGAUGAGGAUUUCCUUCCACUCGCAUUGUGCCAUGGGCAACCCCUCUCUGUCCAGUUACCUCCUUUUCUUUUUUACGGUCCAUGUUUCUACAUUGGAAUCAGUGAAUUUCAAGGUGAUUGGACCUGAUCAUCCCAUCAUGGUCUCUGCAGGUGAAGAUGCCCUGUUACCCUGUCACCUCUUCCGUAACACAAGUGCUCAGAAGAUGGAGGUGCGCUGGUACCGAUCCAAGUUCUCUGAACCUGUCCAUCUGUAUCAGAAUGAAAAAGAUCAGGCUGAGCAGCAAAUACCAAAUGAUCAGGGCAGAACAGAGCUGCUGAAGGAUGGUAUUGUGGAUGGAAGCGUUGUCCUGCGUAUACACAACAUCACCCCCUCUGACCAUGGGCAGUUUAUCUGUUUCUUCCGAUCAAGCAGAUUUUAUGCGGAAGCCACUCUGGAACUGAAGGUGACAGGGCUACACGCCAUGCCACAACACAAAAGUCACCUGCUGAAUUAUUACACGGUAGAGAGAUGCAUACUAAAUUAAACAUUGCUGGAUUACAUGGGCCUAUAUCUGAUAUAUCAUUGCUGCCGGAUAUCAGACAAACAGUUCAAUGAAAACCACAAAAAUAUAAGAUGCAGAUAAAUGCUGUGGGGUCAGGGAACUGAAAUUCAAAUGUGGCUUGUUUAUAGAAGUAUGAAAACCUGGAAUGUUAGGAAAAGGAGAACCCAGGUUCACUUCCCCACUGAAAAUUGUUUCUAAAAAGGACUAUGACACUCUGUACUUCAGAGUAGCACUCUGGAACUCCCAUAUUCAUCACUGUCAUAGAAUUAUGAUAUGUUUUGUACAAAGUUUGCCUUGAGAGGUAUCAUUUUAAAAGUCUUGAUCUGUUGAACAUUAAUAUCCUGUUGGAUUGUAUGUGCUAUCAUGGUAUAGGAAGUUAUGAAGUUUUGCUAUGUAUGUGUUACUGAAAUAUGUUGUGAGGUUGGGAACACCCACAACCAACCUUUCAGGUGCAACAAUGGAGGAGGCAGACAGGGGUUAAUGGCUCAUCAACACCCAUCAAGGAAAGGAUCUCAGAAACUGUAUACAAUGGAAACUUCUCAGAGAGAACACGUAGACAAUGGAGACUGCUUGACCAAUGGAGACUACCUGAUCCCCACACCACAGCAAAGGAUUUUUCCAACAAGCUGGAAGAAACUAUAAAAGAGGGGAAGUGACAUCAUCACUUGGCCUCACUCCCCCGCACAACUCAACACCUGGAAACAUGUUUGGAGGAUAAAGACUUUGUAUGUGGGAGGGCGGUUUCAGGCUGGAAAAGAGUCCCAGUCUGUGUAUUAAGGAACUAUACUAUCCUGUUUAGUUUAUAGAACUCAGAUUGUGAAUUUACUUUUAUUUCUUAGGUAACCAACUUUGAUCUCUACAUUCGCUACCUAUAAUCACUUAAAAUCUAUCUUUCUGUAGUUUAUAUUUUACCUAAAACAGUGUGGUUUGGUUGAAGUGCUUGGGAAAUCUCAGCUCAGUUUACAUCGAAGCAGGGGCAGUCUGGGUAAUGAACUUGUUCUGGUUAGGCUUCUGACCAGGGCAAGAUGGUACAGCUCUGUGGUGCAAUGCUGGGGAGCUGGGGGGGAAUUGG